CGACCCCAAGUCAGGAAGGAUUACCCGUUGAGUUUAAGCAUAUCAAUAAGCGGAGAAAAAGAAACUUAUAAGGAUUUUCUUAGUAACGGUAAGUAAACUGAGAAAAGCACAACCUUAGAAUCGGGUGGCUCCAUCAUCCAAAUUAUAGUCUGGGGAAACAUCCUUAGCGGCAGACCGGGCCAAAGUCCCCUGGAAGGGGGCACCAGAGAGGGUGAGAGGCCCGUUGUGCUCGGAUCCUAUUGCACUACAAGGCACUAUCUAUGAGUUAGGUUGUUUGGGAAUACAACCCAAAUUGGGUGGUGAAUUUUGUCCAUGGUUAAAUAUAAGUGAGAGAUUGAUAGCGAAUAAGUACUGCAAGGGGAAGAUGAAAAGAACUUUGAAAAGAGAGUCAAAGAGUGCUUGAAAUUAUUGAGAGUGAAGCGGAUUAGGGCCGAUGAUGUGCCUCAAUUGGAUUUGGAACGAUAACGAGUUGAUCUGCCGAUUGACUCAGGGCGUGGACCAGCGUGGAUUGGGGGCAUCUAAAGCUCGGGUUCUCGAUAUGCUCAUGAAAUAUCGUCUCCUCGAUUGUAGAAGGCAGCGCGUGCCUCUAGCGUGCUUCGGCAUCUGCACGCUCUGGACGCUUGCUUGUGGGCUCCCCGUUUAACCCGUCUUACGAACCAAGGAGUCUAACAUAUGUGCGAGUCAACAGACGAGUAAACCCGUAAGGUGUAAGGAAGCUAAUUGGUGGGAUCCCCCUAAAAGGUGUACUGCUGACCGACCUUGAUCUUCUGAGAAGGAUUCAAGUGUGAGCAUACCUGUCGGGAUCCAAAAGAUGGUAAACAAUGCAUGAGCGGGACAAAGCCAGAGAAAAACCUGGUGGAGGCCCAUAGCGAUACUGACGUGCAAAUCGUUCGUCUGACUUGGGUAUAGGGGAGAAAGACCAAUCUAACCGUCUAUUAGCUGGUUCCCUCUGAAGUUUCCCUCGGGAUAGGUGGAGCUUUCGUGCUAGUUCUAUUAGGUAAAGCCAAUAAUUAGAGGCCUCGGGGGCACAACACCCUCGACUUAUUCUCAAACUUUAAAUAGGUAGGACGAUGCGACCGCUUUGUUCAGCAACGCCACAGAAUCAAGAGCUCCAAGUGGGCCAUUUUUUAUAAGAAAAACUGGUGAUGCGGGAUGAAUUGAAAGCCGGGUUACUAUGCCAAAUUGCAUGCUAACCUAGAUCCCACAAAGGGUAUUGGUCGAUUAAGACAGCAGAACAGUGGUCAUAUAGCUCAAAAUCCACUAAGGAGUGUGUAACAACUCACCUACCGAAUCAACUAGCCCCCAAAAUAGAUAGCGCUUAAGCGUACGACAUACAAUCGGUCAUUGAAGAAAGUGCCAGGCUCUAAUGAGUAUGAGGGCACGAUGGUCUCUGCAAAAUCUUGGGUGCGAGCCUGGGCGGAGUGACCGUCGGUGCAAAUCUUAGUGGUAAUAGAAAAUAUUCAAAAGAGAACUUUGAAGGCCGAAGAGAGAAAGGGUUCCUUGUGAACGGCACUUGCAUAUGGGUUUGUCGAUCCUAAGGGUCGGGGGAACCCCGACAGAUAGCGCGUUUUGCGCAUACUCCGAAAUAGAAUUGAGUUAAAAUUCCUGAAUCGGGAUGUGGCAGUUGAUGAUAACGUUAUGAAGUCCAGAGAUGUUGGUGGAAGCCUCGGGAAGAGUUAUCUUUAUAGCUUAACAGCCUGCUUACCCUGGAAUCAGCUCAGCUGGAGGUAGGGUCUAGCGGAUGGAAGAGCACUGCACGUCGUGUGGUGUCUGGUGCACUUUCGGUGGCCCUUAAAAAUUCGGAGGAGCGAAUACCAUCAGCGCCCAGUCGUACUCAUAACCGUAUCAGGUCUCCAAGGUGAACAACCUUUGGUCGAUGGAACAAUGUAGUCAAGAGAAGUUGGCAAAAUAAAUUCGUAACUUUGGGAAAAGGAUUGGCUAUGAGGGCUGGGUAUGAGAGUCCCAGUCCCGAACUCAUCAGCUGUCGAUGGACUGCUCGAGUUGCUCCCACAAUGAGAGUGGGUCACUGAAUGUUGGUUGGGGGACGGACUCAGAACGGUUCCUUCGGAGGCCAUCCCCGCGCGUUGAACAACCAACUCAGAAUAGGUACGGACAAGAAGAAUCUGACUAUUUAAUUAAAACAAAGCAUUGCGAUGGUCCCAAUGGAUGUUCAUGCAAUGAGAUUUCUGCCCAGUGCUCUGAAUGUCAAAAUGAAGAAAUUCAACCAAGCGCGGGUAAACGACGCGAGUAAUUAUAACUCUCUUAAGGUAGCCAAAUGACUCGUCAUCUAAUUAGUGAUACACAUGAAUAGAUUAACGAGAUUCCUACUAUCCCUGUCUACUAUCCAGUAAAACCACAACAAAAAGAAUAGGCUAGGCAGAAUCAGUGGGCAAAGAAGACCCUGUUGAACUUUACUCUAGUCCAACUUUGUGAUAUGACUUGAGAGGUGUAGUAUAAGUGGGAGUAAAAAGGCAAAAGUAAAAUACCACUACUUUUAACGUUAUUUUGCUUACUCCGUGAAUCGAAAGCGGGCCCCUACCCCUCUUUUUGGACCCAAGGCACGCUCUGUAGGCUGAUCUGGGUGGAAGACAUUGUUAGGCGGGGAUUUUGGCUGGGGUGGCAUAUCUGUUAAAAGAUAACGUAGGUGUCCUAAUAUGAGCUCAACGAAAAUAGAAAUCUCGUAUGGAAAAGAAGGAUAAAAACUCAUUUGAUUCUGAUUUCUAGUACGAAUACGAACCAUGAAAAUAUGGCCUAACGAUCUUUUAGACCUUUGAAAUUCUAAGAUAGAGGUGUCAAAAAAGUCACCACAGGGAUAACUAGGUUGUGGUAGCCAAACAUUUAUAGUGAUGUUGCUUUUUAAUCCUUCGAUGUUGGCUCUUCCUAUUAUUGUGAAGUAGAAUUCACCAAGUGUUGGAUUGUUCUCCCACCAAUAGGGAACGUGAGCUGGGUUUAGACCGUUGUGAGACAGGUUAGUUUUACCCUACUGAUGACAGUGUCGUAAUAGUUAUUCAACCUAGUACGAGAAGAACCAUUGAUUCUCACAAUUGGUCAUCGCGCUUGGUUGAAAAGCCAAUGGCGCGAAGCUACAGUGUACUGGAUUAUGACUGAAUGCCUCUAAUUUAGAAUCUGGGCUAGAGGCGACGCAUGCACUCGCCGUCCGCUUGCCAACCCGUAAUAGGGCCUCGCCCUUCAAGGGCACGUGUCGUUGGCUAAGCCAUCGCGAUAAAAAGGUCGUGAUGGCCACCUUGAAGUACAAUUUUCAUUGAGAGGUGAGUAAAAUCCUUUGCUGGCGACUUAAAUACGUGACGGGGUAUUGUAAGUGGCAGAGUGACCUUGCUGCCACGAUCCACUGAGAUUCAGCCCUUUGUCGCUCUGGUUCCU